UACGAAGGGUGCAAGCGUUAAUCGGAAUUACUGGGCGUAAAGCGUGCGUAGGCGGUCUUUUAAGUCUGCUGUGAAAUCCCCGGGCUCAACCUGGGAAUGGCAGUGGAUACUGGGAGGCUAGAGUGUGUCAGAGGAUGGUGGAAUUCCCGGUGUAGCGGUGAAAUGCGUAGAGAUCGGGAGGAACAUCAGUGGCGAAGGCGGCCAUCUGGGACAACACUGACGCUGAGGCACGAAAGCGUGGGGAGCAAACAGG
rnacentral:rRNA from 1 species